GGAUAGAGAGAUGGUGGGGAAUUUUGAGAAGAAAAUGCACAGAUCAAUGGAUUCAUCAUUUUAAGGAAUUAGAAAAAGAUGGUCAUUUUACAAUUGGUGAUGAUCUUCAUAUAACUUUAGUUCAGUACUGCUACAUGCAGAUUAUCAGAGAAGAAUUGGAAGAAGUGAAAUUUGCCUGGAAUAACCACAGAAUCAGGAAACAAAAAUCAGGUGAUAUUGUUCCUGGGAUACCUGAGCUCCUUUAUCAUGUUCCUGAAAUGUUAGGUCAGUUUACUUGUUUUGAUUCUGGAAUCAUUUACAAAGUGAUCAAAUUUCGGUUCACAUAUUUUUUUUUGCUGAAAGUAAAAAUAGGUUUGUAUUUGAAAGUUCUUUAGAUUCAAUUUUUUAUAUGUAACUCUUGUGGACACUGUUAAAGACUACAAUGCUGGAUCAACAGACUUUUGUACAUUUGUUAACUGAUUUUUUUUCUCAUAGAAAAUUGUGUAUAAAUGAACUUAAAAUCAAGAAAUUUCAUCAUAAGUUGCUUACAAGGAACUGUGUUACAAAAAAAGCUUUAUACCAGACAUUUCCCCAUUCCUCUUGUGUUAA